rnacentral:rRNA from 1 species
AGAGUUUGAUCAUGGCUCAGAUUGAACGCUGGCGGCAUGCCUUACACAUGCARGUCGAACGGUAACAGGUCUUCGGAUGCUGACGAGUGGCGAACGGGUGAGUAAUACAUCGGAACGUGCCCGAUCGUGGGGGAUAACGAGGCGAAAGCUUUGCUAAUACCGCAUACGAUCUACGGAUGAAAGCGGGGGAUCUUCGGACCUCGCGCGGACGGAGCGGCCGAUGGCAGAUUAGGUAGUUGGUGGGAUAAAAGCUUACCAAGCCGACGAUCUGUAGCUGGUCUGAGAGGAUGAUCAGCCACACUGGGACUGAGACACGGCCCAGACUCCUACGGGAGGCARCAGUGGGGAAUUUUGGACAAUGGGCGAAAGCCUGAUCCAGCCAUGCCGCGUGCAGGAUGAAGGCCUUCGGGUUGUAAACUGCUUUUGUACGGAACGAAAAGCCUCUUUCUAAUAAAGAGGGGUCAUGACGGUACCGUAAGAAUAAGCACCGGCUAACUACGUGCCAGCAGCCGCGGUAAUACGUAGGGUGCAAGCGUUAAUCGGAAUUACUGGGCGUAAAGCGUGCGCAGGCGGUUUUGUAAGACAGAGGUGAAAUCCCCGGGCUCAACCUGGGAACUGCCUUUGUGACUGCAAGGCUGGAGUGCGGCAGAGGGGGAUGGAAUUCCGCGUGUAGCAGUGAAAUGCGUAGAUAUGCGGAGGAACACCGAUGGCGAAGGCAAUCCCCUGGGCCUGCACUGACGCUCAUGCACGAAAGCGUGGGGAGCAAACAGGAUUAGAUACCCYGGUAGU